rnacentral:rRNA from 1 species
AUGAGGUGCACCUCGAUGAGUUUGCGGAGGAUGAAAUCUUCCAUGCACACAGAAUCUGGGCACUAUUCCGCGGCCUCUGCUUCAAGGGCACAAUUUCUAGGGUUGGUCCUCACGCCCAUGGACCAUAUGGUUUGGAAGGCUUGGACACCGCCAAAAGUCAAGUUAUUUGCUUGGUUCGCGCUGCAGCAUAGUAUCUGGACUGCCGACAGAUUGGAUAAGCGGGGUUGGCCUAACUGUGGCCCGUGCCCCUUGUGCAAGGGGGUGCAGGAGUUUGGUUCCCACCUUUUCUUCAGAUGCCGUUUCACUCUCAGGCCAUGGAACAUGGUCAUCCAGAAAUUUCGCAUCCACGACAUGGAUACGUCUGCAUGGUACUUAUAUGACUCUGUUUAG